CAAAAUACGCGUAAUAAAGCUUGAUUUCCAAUUGGAAAAGUUCCAGUUUUUGUAGAAUGUGCUUUUUGUAAUUUUAUAUUUUUAAUAAAAGUAAAUAUUCUACAACCCGGUAUAUAUGACUGACACCCGAUAUGGUAACUAUAGAGACCCCAUCAGUUUGACAAACACGUCAGUAAUAUUGCUUUAAAAAAGUAAAAUAAGGAGUUUGGGAAAACCAAGAAAAGAUGGCUAACAGGGCAGAAGGGCAUUUCCUCACGACAAUGCCUAAAGUUAGGAUGUCCGGAGGUAAAAAACUGAUGUACGGGCUCAUUAUAAAUGCUUUUUUCGUGAUUCCCUUGUUGGCUACCAUAAGCUAUAUACCGUAUAUGAGAGACAAGAAGGAUGGACCCCCUUAAGAACAUUUUAUAUUUAUAAUUCAGUUAAUAAAUGUCAUUUAGUUUAUACAA